rnacentral:lncRNA from 1 species
CACUAAUGCCCAUAUUUAUAAAAUGGCAAAAGGAGCCUUAAAAACAAACAACAAAUACAAACUAUGGAAUUCUGAAUAGAAAUGCUUAACUUAAAAAAGGCAGUAAACUUUAUUCCAUUCAUCUUUUAAUCAUAGUUUUAAAAGGCAACUAAGUUUACUAACGAUUGUUUUCUCACUAACUACAGGGCUUUGAGUAAGCUACAGGGCUUGCAGUAAGUAACUUUAAAAUGGAUCAACCCUGUAUCUGACAUUAUAUGACUAGGAAAAAAAGUAGUCUUAUUUCAAUUUUAAAACCCAAUUAUUUUCUGGGUCAUUUAUUAUAAACCUGAUGAUACUGAUGAAUGAAAUAAAUGAGUUAGGGCUAUUAGGGAAAAAGAAAAUACAAUUUGAAAAGUAAAACAAAUUCACAUCAACAGUGAAAUAAAUUCUACAUUAAAGUCUCAUUAAUUUGGACCUCACUACUUAAAAAUAUAUAAUUUGGAACUUACUAGACUUUGAGAUGUAUAACAUUGUAAAUGCAAUUAGUAUAACUGAAUGAAUAAAAUAUUUUAAAUGUCUUCCUUCGUCAGUUUUUCAGCUCUUGAAAGUAGGAGGAAUCUAAUACAAGUUCACCAUUUUUUUUUUCAUAACCAGUGCUCAAAUUAAGCCACUCAACAUUGUUAUGACAAAGAUCCUUAAAGGUAAUAGAGAUUCAAAUACUCCAAGUUUAAUUCCUUCUUUUAUGAAUUAAUAAUGUCACUGGUACCUAAAAUAAUAAAACUAUAUUAAAAAGUACUCUAGUAUCUCAACUUCAGUUGACUUUCUCUAAUGCAAGAUUAACAAAGUACGGCUGUAUUUUCAAACCACUUUUAAAGCAAAUACCUGUGAAAGU